rnacentral:rRNA from 1 species
GCGGCCUAUCAGCUUGUUGGUGAGGUAAUGGCUCACCAAGGCGACGACGGGUAGCCGGCCUGAGAGGGCGACCGGCCACACUGGGACUGAGACACGGCCCAGACUCCUACGGGAGGCAGCAGUGGGGAAUAUUGGGCAAUGGAGGAAACUCUGACCCAGCGACGCCGCGUGCGGGAUGAAGGCCUUCGGGUUGUAAACCGCUUUCAGCAGGGAAGAAGCGAAAGUGACGGUACCUGCAGAAGAAGCACCGGCUAACUAUGUGCCAGCAGCCGCGGUAAUACAUAGGGUGCAAGCGUUGUCCGGAAUUAUUGGGCGUAAAGAGCUCGUAGGUGGUUCGUCACGUCGGAUGUGAAAAUCUGGGGCUCAACCCCAGACCUGCAUUCGAUACGGGCGAGCUAGAGUUUGGUAGGGGAGACUGGAAUUCCU